GGCUCCAUAGCUCAGUGGUUAGGGCACUGGUCUUGUAAGCCAUGGGUCGUGAGUUAAAUUCUCGCUGGGGCCU